AGGCUUGCUUCAAUUAGGCAGCCCCGGUGCUACGUUUGACCUACAUGUAUAACGCUGGGUAGGUAUAUGUAACACAAGUAGACGGAAAGAAAAGUCUCUUGGCACCAUGCUCUAAACUGUACCAGAUGUCGCCAAUAUUGAUUUCUGUUUCACUCUGUGCAAAUCUCCUCUCAUUUCCACACAGGUACAUUCACCUGCGUUUCAUACUCCAGGCCAGCAGGUGGCGGUAAUGCACCAAAUAUAUGGAUGCAAACUGCUGUUUAGAGAAGAAGAAGAAGAAGAAGAAGAACGCAGCUGCGGGCCUGGUCUGCAGUCUGCUCCGUCUGAGACGACACUAUGGAGAUGUUUGGACUGCAGUAUAAUGAGCAUGGUUGCCCCCAGUUCCUGUGGACUGGGACCAGCACAGGACCAAGACUGCCCGACCUCCUCCAGAGCAGUGCAUCCACUGCACAGUCAUCGUAAUGGACGUGGCACUAAGGAGGAUUGUCCAGCCGCAGAUGACGCUGAAGAACCGUUACAAGCCGCUAACACCAGUCUGCUUCAGCAGCUUGGUUGAAAUGGAGAUUGGAUGAUGCACUGUGCCCAACUAAUCAUACACGUGAUGCCUUGAGAGGUCGGGGUCAGAUUGUAUUCACCUGCGUUUCAUACUCCAGGCCAGCAGGUGGCGGUAAUGCACCAAAUAUAUGGAUGCAACUCGCUUUUAUACAUCAAGAAGCAGACGAACAAUAACACAGCGUGCUGACGCCGGCUGAUACUCCAGGCCAGCAGGUGGCGGUAAUGCACCAAAUAUAUUGAUGCAAACCGCUGUUUAGAGCAGAAGAAGUAUCACACUGCAGCUUUGCCGGCCUGGUCUGCAGUCUGCUCCGUCUGAGAUGACACUAUGGAGAUGUUUGGACUGCAGUAUAAUGAGCAUGGUUGCCCCCAGUUCCUGUGGACUGGGACCAGCACAGGACCAAGACUGCCCGACCUCCUCCAGAGCAGUGCAUCCACUGCACAGUCAUCGUAAUGGACGUGGCACUAAGGAGGAUUGUCCAGCCGCAGAUGACGCUGAAGAACCGUUACAAGCCGCUAACACCAGUCUGCUUCAGCAGCUUGGUUGAAAUGGAGAUUGGAUGAUGCACUGUGCCCAACUAAUCAUACACGUGAUGCCUUGAGAGGUCGGGGUCAGAUUGUGAGUACUCCUCUGUUUUCCUGAUCCGAUGUGAGGUCAAAGGUCAGGGAUGUCUGUGUCCAGAUUGUAAUGCACUCCGAGACAAAUUUGUAAAUUGUGAAAAUGGGCUAUACAAAUAAACUGAAUUGAAUUGA